UAAGGAAUAUUGGUCAAUGGGCGCAAGCCUGAACCAGCCAUGCCGCGUGAAGGAUGAAGGCCCUACGGGUCGUAAACUUCUUUUGUACGGGAAAAAACCCCUGGUCGUGACCAGGGCUGAUGGUACCGUAAGAAUAAGCAUCGGCUAACUCCGUGCCAGCAGCCGCGGUAAUACGGAGGAUGCAAGCGUUAUCCGGAUUCAUUGGGUUUAAAGGGUGCGUAGGCGGGAUAAUAAGUCAGUGGUGAAAUCCUACAGCUUAACUGUAGAACUGCCAUUGAUACUGUUAACCUUGAGUACAUUUGAAGUGGGCGGAAUGUGUCAUGUAGCGGUGAAAUGCUUAGAUAUGACACAGAACACCGAUAGCGAAGGCAGCUCACUAAACUGUAACUGACGCUGAGGCACGAAAGCGUGGGGAUCAAACAGG
rnacentral:rRNA from 1 species